rnacentral:tRNA from 1 species
GCGACCCGUGGCCGGCGCGGCGACGGCGUUCGCCGCGUCGGCUGACUCGUCGUUCCGCUCGGCGCGGGCUGCUC